rnacentral:rRNA from 1 species
AUGGUCACAUGUCGAAGCAAACAAGUGGCCUAUAUAAUGGGCACUGUUAAGCCCCAUGAGCUAGCAUUUCUGAGUGAAGAAGAUUCAUGGAAACUGUUUUCAAACAAAGCAUUUAGCAAUGGUGUAGAGGAGCAAACAGAAUUAAUCACCACAGGAAGAUGUAUUGUCAAAAAAUGCAGGGGAUUGCCUCUUGCUUUGAAGACAAUGGGUGGAUUGCUGAGUUCAAAGAAACGAGUUGAGGAAUGGAAGGCCAUCGAAGAAAGUAACAUUGGGGAUAAUAUUGGAGGCAAACACGAAGUCAUGCCCAUACUGAAGUUAAGCUACAAACACCUGUCAUCUGAAAUGAAGCAAUGCUUUGCAUUUUGUGCACUUUUCCCCAAAGAUUAUGAGAUGGAGAAGGAUAUGUUGAUCCAACUAUGGAUGGCAAAUCACUUUAUUCAAGAAGAUGGAACAAUGGAUUUAACAUGGAAAGGAGAAUUUAUUUUCCAUGAGUUGGUUUGGAGAACCUUCCUGCAAGAUAUUAAAGUGGUAGUCAAAUCUGAUGGCUAUUCUGAUGCCAUAGGAUAUGGGACAAUAGUUUGUAAAAUGCAUGACUUAAUGCAUGACUUGGCUAGAGAUGUUAGCAAUGAAUGUGCCACCAUAGAAGAAUUGACUGAACAGAAAACAUUGGUAAAAAAUGUCCGUCACCUGCAAAUGUCAGAGGUUGAAUUGGAACAUAUCACUCGAUUGUUGGAAGGCAAAACAUCUCUCCGCACUUUGUUAGCUCCUUCAAGGAUACACCUGGAUUUUAACCGGCUGCCACGUGUAUCAUUACGAGCAUUGCAUUGGCAGAGUACGUCGGGUGCCAGUUUCAAGGCCAUAAAUGCAAAACAUUUGCGGUAUCUUGACCUCUCCAAUUGUAAACCCAAUGCUAUAUUGCUCGACUCAAUAUGUCUGUUGUAUAACCUGCAAACGUUAAGGCUCAAUCAUUGUGAAGGACUGCAAGAGCUACCAGAGGACAUGAUGAUAAGCCUGAGAAAGCUCAUACAUCUUUAUCUUUCUGGAUGUGAUAAGUUGGAGCGGAUGCCUCGAAACAUUGGCCAGUUGAACAAUCUUCGCACACUAACAAGAUUUGUUGUGGAUACUAGAGAGGGUUGUGGUAUUGAGGAACUCAAAGACUUGCGACACCUUUGCAAUAAGAUGAAAUUGUACAACUUGAGGAAAAUAAAGAGUGUAAAGCACGCAAAAGAAGCCAAUCUCCAACAGAAGCAAAAUCUGAGUGAGCUGUUGUUUUCUUGGGGCCUUAAAAGAUAUGAAGAGCCCGAAAGUGAGGCAUGUAUUGAGGAAGAAGUGUUCCAGCAUCUAGAACCUCAUAGCAAGAUCCAAAUUUUGGAGUUGUAUGGAUAUGGUGGCCUAGAAAUACCACGAUGGAUGAGAGACCCUCAGAUGUUUCAGUGCUUAAGAAAACUCACAAUUACGAACUGGACAAGGUGUAAGAAUAUACCUGUAGUAUGGUUGUCACCUUCACUGGAGUACUUAUCCUUAACGAACGUGGGCAAACUGAAGACAUUGUGUGAUAACCUUUGCAUAGAAGUUGAAAGACACAAUACCCCUCUACAGAUUUUCCCGAAGUUGAAGAAGAUGUUCUUGGAAGAGCUACCUAGUCUAGAGGGUUGGGCAGAAAACAGUGCAGGUGUGGCCAUUGAUAGCUCAGUAAUAUUCCCGGUGCUUGAGAAGCUAGAAAUCUGCUGCUGCCCUAAGGUUGCAAGUUUUCCACAGAGCCCCGUUCUCAAAGACCUGAGUUUAUCAGAAUUCCCGGUGCGGGAGGUGAAGUGUUUAUGGGAUAUUCCAAGGUUGCCAACAUCUGUUGAAAUUUUGUGGAUUCAAUGCUUCGGAGGUUUGGUGGAGCUGCCUUCGAACCUUGGAGAUCUGGCAAAGCUGAGCUACCUACUGGUUCAUGACUGCAAGAACCUCAAAGGGUUGCCUGAUGGGAUGGAUGGCCUCACUUCUCUUCAGAAAUUGGAAAUCACUCAUUGUCCAGCGACGGAGGAAUUCCCAAAUGGCCUCCUUCAGCAGUUGCCAGCCCUUGACAAGCUAAGCAUAUAUGGUUGCCCUGAGUUGCAAAGACGGUGCAAAGAAGGUGGGGAGUAUUUCCACCACUUGGUCCGUAUCCCAGUUAAACACAUUCCAGCAGAAUUAGAAUUCGGAACUGGAACAAGUAUCACCUUCAUGCAGCUCUCUGGAUGA